GGAGGGGUGGCCGAGCGGCUGAAGGCGCACGCCUGGAACGCGUGUAUACGGGAAACCGUAUCGAGGGUUCGAAUCCCUCUCCCUCCGCCA
rnacentral:tRNA from 1 species